AGCAACAGGGAUUGCCCUAGUAACGGCGAGUGAAGCGGCAACAGCUCAAAUUUGAAAUCUGGCUCUUUCAGAGUCCGAGUUGUAAUUUGCAGAGGGCGCUUUGGUGUUGGCGGCGGUCCAAGUUCUUUGGAACAGGACGUCACAGAGGGUGAGAAUCCCGUACGUGGUCGCUAGCCUUCACCGUGUAAAGCCCCUUCGACGAGUCGAGUUGUUUGGGAAUGCAGCUCUAAAUGGGAGGUAAAUUUCUUCUAAAGCUAAAUACUGGCCAGAGACCGAUAGCGCACAAGUAGAGUGAUCGAAAGAUGAAAAGCACUUUGGAAAGAGAGUCAAACAGCACGUGAAAUUGUUGAAAGGGAAGCGCUUGCAGCCAGACUUGCCUGUAGUUGCUUAUCCGGACUUUUGUCCGGUGCACUCUUCUGCGGGCAGGCCAGCAUCAGUUUGGGCGGUUGGAUAAAGGUCUCUGUCAUGUACCUCCUUUCGGGGAGGCCUUAUAGGGGAGACGACAUGCAACCAGCCUGGACUGAGGUCCGCGCAUCUGCUAGGAUGCUGGCGUAAUGGCUGUAAGCGGCCCGUCUUGAAACACGGACCAAGGAGUCUAACAUCUAUGCGAGUGUUUGGGUGUCAAGCCCAGACGCGUAAUGAAAGUGAACGGAGGUGGGAACCCUUUGGGUGCACCAUCGACCGAUCCUGAUGUCUUCGGAAGGAUUUGAGUAAGAGCAUGGCUGUUGGGACCCGAAAGAUGGUGAACUAUGCUUGAAUAGGGUGAAGCCAGAGGAAACUCUGGUGGAGGCUCGCAGCGGG
rnacentral:rRNA from 1 species